AAAGAUGAGUGAAUAAAUAAUAUUAGAAUAAGAUUGCGAGAGAAAAUAUAAAAAAUACUGAAUAGGAAAAAGAAUUCAUGAAAUAUGUGAUGGAAUAAGAUCGAGAAAAUAGGAUCCCUACAAAUAGAAAUGAUCUUGAAAUUGAUUUGGUUAGAUCAAAAAGAAGGAAAAAGACCUUAAAAAGUAAAUAAAAAUAAUAAAAAUUGGUCAUACAAAAUAAGUUAUGGAAUAUUAAUGGAAUAAUACUAGACGGAAAAAAAAG
rnacentral:lncRNA from 1 species